CAAGCUAACAGCAUUUUAGAACUAACAUAACAGCCACUCAGAACAAACCUGACAGUUUCUCAGUGUCAAGCUAACAGCUACUCGUGACGAAGGUUACUGCUACUCUUGGUGUAGCUAACAGCUAACUGGAGACAAGCUAACAGCUACUCGUUACAAAGCGUUUAAAUGGGAGAGAGCUUGACUGGAGAGCUAACGGUGCGAUGGAGAGGUUUAAAUUGGAUCCUGCAGCCGACAAGACAGGACCCAGGAGCAGAGGUGCGGAUCAGCAGCGAUCUCCGGCUCUGCUCCCAUAAAUAAGUCACACAGCGAGGUCUCGCUCCAGGUAUCAUCCAGGGAAAAGAGCAGCAGCUCCUCAAGGACAAGCUUGUCCCUGUCUCUACUCUUGUCUUAAUUAUGUUUUCACAAGUCUUUCUGAAAACCUUCACAGACAUCCUGAACUUUUCAGCGUCUUUCAAUUUUGUGCGAAUAAAAGAGGAGAUCCUUCAAA